rnacentral:rRNA from 1 species
UAUCAAUAAGCGGAGGAAAAGAAACCAACAGGGAUUGCCCUAGUAACGGCGAGUGAAGCGGCAACAGCUCAAAUUUGAAAUCUGGCGCAAGCCCGAGUUGUAAUUUGUAGAGGAUGCUUCUGGGUAGCGGCCGGUCUAAGUUCCUUGGAACAGGACGUCACAGAGGGUGAGAAUCCCGUAUGUGAUCGGCCCGCGCCCUCUACGUAGCUCCUUCGACGAGUCGAGUUGUUUGGGAAUGCAGCUCUAAAUGGGAGGUAAAUUUCUUCUAAAGCUAAAUACCGGCCAGAGACCGAUAGCGCACAAGUAGAGUGAUCGAAAGAUGAAAAGCACUUUGGAAAGAGAGUUAAACAGCACGUGAAAUUGUUGAAAGGGAAGCGCUUGCAACCAGACUUGACGGCGGUGUUCCCCCGGGCUUCUGCCCGGGUUACUCACCGUCUUCAGGCCAUCAUCGUCUGGGGCCGCCGGAGAAACCGUCAGGAAUGUGGCUCCCUCGGGAGUGUUAUAGCCUGUCGACAUGCGGCGUGCCCCGGGCGAGGUCCGCGCUUAGGCAAGGAUGAUGGCGUAAUGGUUGUCAGCGGCCCGUCUUGAAACACGGACCAAGGAGUCUAACAUCUAUGCGAGUGUUCGGGUGUCAAACCCCUACGCGUAAUGAAAGUGAACGGAGGUGGGAGCUUCGGCGCACCAUCGACCGAUCCUGAUGUCCUCGGAUGGAUUUGAGUAAGAGCAUAGCUGUUGGGACCCGAAAGAUGGUGAACUAUGCCUGAAUAGGGUGAAGCCAGAGGAAACUCUGGUGGAGGCUCGCAGCGGUUCUGACGUGCAAAUCGAUCGUCAAAUUU